UCACUCCAGACACAGACUGAUAAACUAGAAAUUCUAUAUACUUCAAGAGAUACACAGAGAAAGUAUGGAAACAGGCCAGAGCCGUCCCGUGGCUCCAUCCUACUUGGGAUGGUCCAUCUUCAACACUUUGUGCUGUUGUUUGCCAUUAGGGAUUGCUGCAAUCGUCUGCUCUUGUAGGGCACAAAAUGCAAAUUCUGCUGGGGAAUCAGCCAUUGCUCAGGAUGCAUCGAGGACAGCCAAGAUCCUCAAUGUCAUCGGGCUUGUGUGCGGAAUAAUUUUGCUCAUCAUUUUCAUCGCUCUCAAAACCACUCAGAUGUAGCGCCAUUGAAAGUGUCAAUUCUUGCCAUUGGCAGCGUCGGCACUUCAGCAAGCUUUUGUCAUCUAACCCACAUGGACUUCCCUUCCCCCUACAUACAAAAUUAAGAGGAAACAGAUGUCUACAGUGUUUUUAAUGUAGAAACAUGCAUGCUUUUUGUAAGGAAAAAACGGUUUCCUGUUUUUAUGUAAUGGAAUGAUUAUCUUUUGUUGUUAUAAAAAAAAGUGCAACCUGAUUUUUUUUGUGAUCAGUGAUUAUGAGAUCUAAACAAAUCAGAAAUGUCAAAAAGUUCACUAUUUUUGUAGUUACUGGCCAAAAAUACUAUUAAGUAUUUCUUUUUGUCUCACAUGUCCAUUUACUUGGAAUCAUAGGAAAUGACCUGAUAUAAAAUGUAAAGAUACAUGUGUGAAAAAUUAUUAAAAUCCUGGGCUGAGAAA